GAAUAUGUACGAGCAGUAAAAAUAACAGUUUGGCUGACCAGCCCAAUGAUAUAUGUAGGAUAAGUGCUUAUGGGAGAUGGCUCUAUGUAAAACGAAAACCCAAAGAACACAGGUAGCUAAAUAGGGCCAACGCAGCAGCUGCUGCCUCAUGGGCUGAACUUGGGCAGGUAGCUGCCUGGUCAAGAAUGAUGUGAGGACACGCCCAAUAUGACAACGGGGCCAGGCGCUUCUCUUAUUCAGCCUUAACGGAACUGGUUCAAGGCCAGUCGCAGGUGGAACUAGUUAAAUGCAAUUUGUAAUUAAACAUUUGC